GGCCCCUUCGUCUAUCGGCUAGGACAUAUGGUUCUCAUCCAUGCAAGAGGAGUUCGACUCUCCUAGGGGCUGCCA
rnacentral:tRNA from 1 species